GCCUGGGUGGCUCAGUCGGUUAAGCAUCUGACUUCAGCUCAGGGUAUGAUCUCACUGUUCGUGGGUUCGAGCCCCACAUCAGCUU
rnacentral:tRNA from 1 species